GAUGAAGAACGCAGCGAAAUGCGAUAAGUAGUGUGAAUUGCAGAAUUCAGUGAAUCAUCGAAUCUUUGAACGCACAUUGCGCCCCUUGGUAUUCCAUGGGGCAUGCCUGUUCGAGCGUCAUUUGUACCCUCAAGCUUUGCUUGGUGUUGGGUGUUUGUCCCGCGUUGCGCGUGGACUCGCCUUAAAGCGAUUGGCAGCCGGCAUAUUGGCCUUGGAGCGCAGCACAUUUUGCGCUUCUAGUCAUGUAUGUUGGCGUCCAUUAAGCCUAUACAUUUGCUCUUGACCUCGGAUCAGGUAGGGAUACCCGCUGAACUUAAGCAUAUCAAUAAGCGGAGGA
rnacentral:misc_RNA from 1 species